rnacentral:rRNA from 1 species
ACUCAAAUGAAUUGACGGGGACCUGCACAAGCGGUGGAGCAUGUGGUUCAAUUCGACGGUAAGCGAGGAACCUUACCAGGUCUUGACAUGUAGCUGCAUCUUCAAGAAAUUGAAGCGCCUUCGAGGGUGCUACACAGGUGCUGCACGGUUGUCGUCAGCUCGUGCCGUGAGGUGUUCACUUAAGUGUGAAAACGAGCGCAACCCCUAUUGUAAGUUACAAGUGUCUUACGAAACUGCCCGCGUUCAAGCGGGAGGAAGGUGGGGAUGACGUCAAAUCAGCGUGGCUCUUACGACCUGGGCCACACACGUGCUACAAUGGGAAGGUACAGAGGGACGCCAAGUCGCAAGACGGAGCAAAUCCCACCAAAACUUCCCCCAGUUCGGAUUGAGGGCUGCAACUCGCCCUCAUGAAGCCGGAAUCGCUAGUAACCGUGGAUCAGCCUCGCCACGGUGAAUACGUUCUCAGGUUUUGUACACACCGCCCGU